CUUUCACAUAGUCUUUCGUUAUACGAAUGGGCUCCACGGCAUAGCUAUCUGGGGUAACACUGCUCACAUAGGGAAAGUACCGAAUGACCCGGCUUUCGAGUGUUUGCAGGGGAAAAUCAAGCAUUUCAACAUGGGGCCAUAGUCACAGGGCAGGAGGCUGGCAAUCAGUCUUCUCCACUGCCCAGUGGCGAGGCUGGUUCUGCCACAUACCGAACAGAAUAUAC